ACUCCUACGGGAGGCAGCAGUGAGGAAUCUUGCGCAAUGGGGGAAACCCUGACGCAGCCACGCCGCGUGCCGGAAGAAGGCCCUAUGGGUUGUAAACGGCUUUUGGUUGGGAAGAAUGUACGAGGUUUGCCUUGUAUUGACGGUACCAAUUGAAUCAGCACCGGCUAACUCCGUGCCAGCAGCCGCGGUAAUACGGAGGGUGCAAGCGUUGUCCGGAAUCAUUGGGUGUAAAGGGUGCGUAGGCUGGCAUCUAAGUCUGGGGUGAAAUCUUGCCGCUUAACGGUAAAAUUGCCCUGGAUACUGGAUGUCUUGAAUCUGACAGAGGUCGGUGGAAUUCGUAGUGUAGCGGUGAAAUGCAUAGAUAUUACGAAGAACAUCAGUGGCGAAGGCGGCCGGCUGGGUCAGUAUUGACGCUGAGGCACGAGAGCGUGGGGAGCGAACAGGAUUAGAAACCCCAGUAGUCC
rnacentral:rRNA from 1 species